UACGUAGGGUGCGAGCGUUGUCCGGAAUUAUUGGGCGUAAAGAGCUUGUAGGCGGUCUGUCGCGUCUGCUGUGAAAAUCCGGGGCUUAACCCCGGACCUGCAGUGGGUACGGGCAGACUAGAGUGUGGUAGGGGAGACUGGAAUUCCCGGUGUAGCGGUGAAAUGCGCAGAUAUCGGGAGGAACACCGGUGGCGAAGGCGGUUCUCUGGGCCUUACCUGACGCUGAGGAGCGAAAGCGUGGGGAGCGAACAGG
rnacentral:rRNA from 1 species